CGAAGACUCUCAGGAUCUCAGGCUUAAACACUGCUUUAAGACAUUUUUAACAUGUAUAUUUGGGUCAGCUUAUUUCUGUUGAAAAUGCCAGCAUUGAUCUCCAGGAAGCUCAGAAGAGCUGAUGAUCUUGUGCAUCAAUGCUGAAUAAAUCGAGGGUUAUUUAGCUGACAGGAGAGUUUGACUUCACUUUACUACAGAGCAGCCUCACAUCAGCUCAUCUGUCUCUCAUUACUGAUCCAGUUUGUCUCUUCAUAUCUGUGGACUCAAACCGCUGAAGAUGUUUGACAGAGUUUGCUUCUGGUUGUGUUUGUGGCAUAUGCUUGGUGAGUUUGAAAUGUGUAUUUGUUUUCUCUCAAAUAUGUGUGUUUGUUUUUCUAAAUAUCCUUUCUAUAAAAACAGUGAAGCUCAAACAGCAGCAGCUUUAGUUUCAGUCGUGACGUGAUUCUCAUCUGAAGAGUUUUCUGUGGAUGAAUUCAGCUCAAAUCAACUUCAGUUCCUGUGUCGGCAAAUGGGUUUUAUUCAAAAUCACCAUGAAGAUGUCUUUCGUUUUGUUGUUUGGAUAUUAUUGGUGCAAGAUUUACAUUUGACACUGUUUACUUCAGUAAACCUUGACCUUAAUCUGUGACAAACUCUGUUUGUGUUUGUUCUUCAGGUGUGUUUGCUGAUUCAGAUGAAGUGAAGUCAGUGUCUGUGAUGGAGGGAGAUUCAGUCUCUCUACAGACUAACACUGAACUACAGACAAAUGAUGAGAGACAGACUGGAGCUGGAUCAUCAGACUGGAUCUCUGAUCAUCACAAACACCAGAAACACAGACUCUGGACUUUAUCAAGUGACCAUCAGAGGAGAAGAUUGACCACAUACAGAUUCAAUCUUACUGUCUCUGGUGAGUCACAAUUACAUUUGUGUCAUUUGUGCUGACAGUUUUCAUAAAAAUAUUUUCAUGAACCAAAUCAAAAAACAAAAAAAAUAUAUAUUUAAAA